rnacentral:rRNA from 1 species
AACGAACGCUGGCGGCAUGCUUAACACAUGCAAGUCGAACGAGACCGUCGGGUCUAGUGGCGCACGGGUUCGUAACGCGUGGGAAUCAGCCAUUUGCAACGGAAUAACUCAGAGAAAUUUGUGCUAAUACCGUAUAAUGUCGCAAGACCAAAGAUCUAUCGGCACAGGAUGAGCCCGCGUAGGAUUAGCUAGUAGGUGAGGUAAAGGCUCACCAAGGCGACGAUCCUUACCUGGUCUGAGAGGAUGAUCAGCCACACUGGGACUGAGACACGGCCCAGACUCCUACAGGAGGCAGCAGUGGGGAAUAUUGGACAAUGGGCGAAAGCCUGAUCCAGCAAUGCCGCGUGAGUGAUGAAGGCCUUAGGGUUGUAAAGCUCUUUUACCAGGGAUGAUAAUGACAGUACCUGGAGAAUAAGCUCCGGCUAACUCCGUGCCAGCCGCCGCCGUAAUAC